AACGAACGCUGGCGGCAUGCCUAACACAUGCAAGUCGAACGAGACCUUCGGGCCUAGUGGCGCACGGGUGCGUAACGCGUGGGAACCUGCCCUUAGGUUCGGAAUAACUCCCCGAAAGGGGUGCUAAUACCGGAUACUGUCUUCGGACCAAAGAUUUAUCGCCUUUGGAUGGGCCCGCGUUGGAUUAGCUGGUUGGUAGGGUAAAAGCCUACCAAGGCGACGAUCCAUAGCUGGUCUGAGAGGAUGAUCAGCCACACUGGGACUGAGACACGGCCCAGACUCCUACGGGAGGCAGCAGUGGGGAAUAUUGGACAAUGGGCGAAAGCCUGAUCCAGCAAUGCCGCGUGAGUGAUGAAGGCCUUAGGGUUGUAAAGCUCUUUUACCCGGGAUGAUAAUGACAGUACCGGGAGAAUAAGCGCCGGCUAACUCCGUG
rnacentral:rRNA from 1 species